GCAAACUUGGUCAUUUAGAGGAAGUAAAAGUCGUAACAAGGUCUCCGUUGGUGAACCAGCGGAGGGAUCAUUACCGAGUUUACAACUCCCAAACCCCUGUGAACAUACCUUUUGUUGCCUCGGCGGGAGGCCCCGGGGGGUGGCUUCGGCCGCCCUCCCGGAUCCCAUGGCUGCCCGCCGGAGGACCCAAACCUCUGUUUUAGAAUUGAAUCUUCUUCUGAGUAUCUAGGCGAAAGCCGAAAAUAAAUCAAAACUUUCAACAACGGAUCUCUUGGCUCUGGCAUCGAUGAAGAACGCAGC
rnacentral:misc_RNA from 1 species